rnacentral:rRNA from 1 species
CCUACGGGAGGCAGCAGUGGGGAAUCUUGCGCAAUGGGCGAAAGCCUGACGCAGCCAUGCCGCGUGAAUGAUGAAGGUCUUAGGAUUGUAAAAUUCUUUCACCGGGGACGAUAAUGACGGUACCCGGAGAAGAAGCCCCGGCUAACUUCGUGCCAGCAGCCGCGGUAAUACGAAGGGGGCUAGCGUUGCUCGGAAUUACUGGGCGUAAAGGGAGCGUAGGCGGAUAGUUUAGUCAGAGGUGAAAGCCCAGGGCUCAACCUUGGAAUUGCCUUUGAUACUGGCUAUCUUGAGUGUGGGAGAGGUUAGCGGAACUCCGAGUGUAGAGGUGAAAUUCGUAGAUAUUCGGAAGAACACCAGUGGCGAAGGCGGCUAACUGGCCCAUUACUGACGCUGAGGCUCGAAAGCGUGGGGAGCAAACAGGAUUAGAUACCCUGGUAGUCCACGCCGUAAACGAUGAGUGCUAGUUGUCGGCAUGCAUGCAUGUCGGUGACGCAGCUAACGCAUUAAGCACUCCGCCUGGGGAGUACGGUCGCAAGAUUAAAACUUAAAGGAAUUGACGG